UGUUUGGCUUUGGCACUUUAGUUUGUAUGGGUGUGGCCUAUCUGGUGAUGUAAUGCAUGCAUAAUGAGGUACACAUACGCCUGCGCCACCAUGCGGCCGCGUGGGCGCACUGCAGGCUCAGAACUGGAUAUCCAUCUUUAGACCAAUCAUAGCUCAUAGUUUCGGUCACGUGGUGCCUCCAACUUGAUAGAGACGGUAGCCAUCUUUGUUGGCUAGAGGCUGAAGCUGCUUACUCGCGUUUCUGCCGGGAUUUCGCCGCCAUCGGUCGGUUCUAAGUUGCUGCGUCGGUGUGGAGAGGUCAAGAAGCAAUCACAGACUUUAGCAUGGGAUUUUACGAAUGUGUCUCAAUUCCAACGGCCGAGAACACUGGAAAUAGUUGGAUCGAUCGGUCGGUAACCCUCCAGAAGGCAGCCUGACAACUUUGGAAUUUUUUGUACCGUUCAGGAGUUCGCGAAACAAAGGGUCUGGAACACCGCCCUCGUGGCCAGGGCUGUUCUGGAUGUGAUGGUCUUUCAGGGCAGCCUUGAGCUGGACCACCUCAUCCUUCAUCAUGCCGCGGAAUGUGGCAUUGAUGUUGUUGAAGAUGGCAUGGAGGUGUUCGAUGCCCUGCUCGCCCAGGAAGCCAAGCCCAAACCCCCAACUCCUGACACAGUCAACCACAUGAUCCUCCAACAUGUGCAUCUUUAUAGGUCCUGAACCAUGCUGCAGGCCUCGUUGAAGACGACUUCAGCCAUGGAGUCCUCCACGCCAUCUCUGUAGGCAAGCCAGGCCAGCUGGCUCUCCUGUUCUUCUAUUUGGUCUUCAAGGACAUCUGCUGCAUCAUCCAAAGCUCGCGCCUCGUCAAUGGCAGCGACGAAGGACUUGAACUUGCCCAGAUGUUCAUCGGCGAGAAGAACAUCCUUCGUCACCUCGCCUUCAGCUAGGACAGACUCAAGGUAGGAGAAGAUGGUGUCUUUCAAUGACGUGACGUAAGCACAAGGCCGGAGCUGUACUGUGAAUGGGUCCUUGCGGUUCUCCCUUACAGAAAAAGCUCAUUCCAACCCCAACUUUUGCUGCCAACAGGUGACCAUUGGGGAUGACGAUCCGAUCCAGCUUCAACUCCUGCAACAUCUGUUGCAGCUCGUCACGAGGGUGAAGCUGGAGUUCUGCCUUCAUCUGUGCAGCAG